GUAAUUACUUUUAGUUCAUUCAUUUCAUAUUCAUUUUUCGUUUAUAUUUAAAGGAAAUUAUUUUGGCUCUAAUUAUAUGCUCAUGAGUGUAAAGCUCCAUAGACAAAGCCAAUCUUUGAAUAAGCUCCGAAAGCUCGCUCGCUUUACGUUGGCCGAAAUCGCAACAACAAGAAAGACCGAUCAAAUAUUUAUUUUAUGUGCAUGGCAGUGAAGUCUCUAACAAGUUGAGUUUUGCAAUAAAAUAGGUUCUUUCACUUACGUAUUUGCUUUAUGUCAUCUAUGUCCAAAAGAUCUUUCGGCGAUGGGAGAGCGAACCUGGAAGCUUUUAAGAGAGAGCACACACAAUUGUUCAUACACACAUACACAUUUGAUUUCUCUUCGUUUGUUUUGAUUCUUUUUGGGGUUGGCUUUUAACAAAUUUCAUGGAAUGAGUACAUUUUACGUUUGUUUCUUAAUGUUCUUGUCACUUGCGCUAAAUAUCAUUGCUUUACUUUAAAUUUAAAUUAGUCAAUAUCAAAACGAUGUCUGAAUCCAGAAAUGGCAGCGAUGGCAUCGGGACACAGGUAUAAAUUCGAGAAGCACUGCCUGUAGCCUCUAAGGUUCAAUGACCUCGCAAGUGCAAACAUGUUUUAAUGUUUAAAUGUACUGUGGAACCUAUCGGGCGUCGUAGUCCUUAUUCACUGUCAUUAUGCCGUUGAUGUUAGUUGGUUUAGGGGAGCAACGCGCUAAAGCUGCUCGUGGGGGCCAGGGUGGUCUUCCAAAAAUAUGCCCUUCUAUGGGCCCAGUGGACCCCGUAGGUAUUUCUCCGGUGUUCCAUGGGUAAUUUCCGGUAACUGGCAGCAACCUCUUCUGCCCUCUUGUUCUUUUCGCUCCAGCUGCUGUGGUCGCGACGUAUAUGUACGUCUGCACUCUUUGCCAGCCUGAUUUUUGGUCCCCCUUCUGUUUGUCCAAAUGACAGUGGAAAACAAACAGCAAUUGGGAC
rnacentral:lncRNA from 1 species